rnacentral:sRNA from 1 species
GUGUACUCACGUACAUUCCGGUUCCUCCGCGCCGUCCGCACCCACCUGACGACUGCUCGCUAAGUUUUGUUAGCC